AUUCCGGAGAAUAUGUAUUUUCCAUUAUAGGAUGUUCUUUCUAUCAAGGUAGAGUUAGUAGUAGUUCCAUUUCUCUUCUAUACAAAAGCAUUAUUGCUCAACAUCCCUCAUGAACUUAGACAAUUGGAUGAAUAAGACAUUAGAACCACCAACUUCUGUGAGUUUUAUCUUUCCAUGAUUCCGGUGAUCGAGUUGCAACCUUCAUUAGCUAUUGGACUCAGAGAUACUCUGUAAACUCGGACGCCAUGAUUUCGAGCUUGAAGCAGCAGCUAAGUUUGUUGUUCCAGGUCUUUGCCUGUUUCCUUCAUGUCUUUUAGCCUUGUUCUUAUCUGAUUCAGAGUUUCCAGCUUCAACUUCACAGCUUGAUCUUUGAUUGUCUUGCAACUCUGGUUGAUUCUUUUUCAUCUUUGCAUGUUUCUUAGCUCUCAAUACCUUCAUCACCUCUUGUGUUGUGACAAGUCUAUAAGCUCUGCCAAGGACUAAAGUGUCUGUUUGACGGAGAAGUUUAACGCGUGUGAAACGAACAGUUUUAUCAUUGGAGUUGUCAUCGGAGGAGAUAGGAAGAGGUAUGAUGAGUGAAACAUAGUGACCAGGGUUCAUUUUCAUAACUUCACUAGCUGUCAUAGGCCAAUACAUCCUGUCUAUCUUACCAUUUGGAUGUUGUAUUACUAGUGCAGCUGCAUCAACAGCCUGGCAAUUCCCCAUUUGGUUGAUUUUCGAUUUCUUAGAAGAAGAAGAUGGAUAAGAAGGCAAGGAAGGAAGAAGGAAAGAAGGUUAUGAAAUAGACAAGAGUCUCUUUCCAAGU
rnacentral:misc_RNA from 1 species